CAUUUAUCGGGGGUUCAUUAUGGCGAUAUUAGUUAGAAUACAUUAUUGUAUAUCGGUUAAGGUGUGUUCGAGUAUACAAUACCGUCAAAUGUUUUUUUUAGUGUUGAUCAUAAUAAUCCAACAAAUGCUUAGUAUACAGGAUACACUUCUUACACAUUAUAAAUGAAAGUAAAAUAAGAUGUUUUUGGAACAUGCGUUAUUUCUAAGUGUCACAAAAUAGCCUUUGUAUGGUUUAAGAUUGUCUGAACAUUUUAUUAUUUGCCAAAAGAAAAUGUGGAAUAUGAUGUGUGACGUUAUGCCCACGAUUUCCGAAGACAGCAUUUCGCAAAGGUCGUCGCAGUUUAGCGGAGAAGAUGCAAAUUUUGAGCAGCUUAUGGUAUCUAUGCUUGAUGAACGGGAUAAAUUGAUGGACAGUUUGAGAGAAGCACAGGAGAGACUUGCUGAGACCGAUAACAAACUUAAAGAUACCGAGAAAGAACGCGACAGCCUCCAAAGACAGAUUACAGCAAAUUUACCACAGGAGUUCUCCACAUUAACGAAGGAACUAACUCAAGCGAGAGAAACGCUUCUUGAAAGAGAUGAUGAAAUAGGCGAGCUGAAGGCGGAAAGAAAUAAUACUCGGCUUCUUUUAGAGCAUUUAGAAUGUCUGGUGUCCAGGCACGAGCGAUCAUUGCGUAUGACAGUAGUUAAACGACAAGCAGCCUCACAGAGUGGAGUUUCCAGUGAAGUAGAAGUACUUAAAGCUCUUAAAAGUCUUUUUGAGCAUCACAAAGCAUUGGACGAAAAGGUUCGGGAACGCCUAAGAGUUGCAUUGGAAAAAAAUACUGAACUUGAAGGAGAGUUGACUAAUCUCAAAGAAGAGAUUCAACAACACAAAUCCGGAGUCGUCCUGUCAAGCCAAUCAGAUACAUCAAAAGAAAAUGGAGAAAUUUGCAAGGAAGGACUUCCAAACGGAGAAUCAUCUGAGCAAAUUGAUUACAUCGCAAGGAGCCACGAGUUGCAGACAAUUAUUGAGAAACAGACGUCUGAGCUAUCUCAAUGGCAACGCAGAGUUUCUGACCUGAACAGUAAGAUAAAUGAUUUAGAGGAAAAUCUAACCAAAACCCAGAAGGAAUUCACGAAAUCACAAGAAACGUGCGUUAAGUUACAGAGAGAUUUACGUGAGAAUGUUGCACAAAAAGAGGACCAAGAGGAACGAAUCACAACAUUAGAAAAACGUUAUCUGAAUGCGCAAAGAGAAUCAACUUCCUUACACGACCUCAAUGAGAAACUGGAACAAGAAUUGCGUCAUAAAGAAGCUCAACUUAAAUUACAAGAAGGUAAAAUAUGUGCAAUUCAAGAGAAACUUGAAUUGUCGGAACAAAAAUUAGCACAAUUAUCCAAGCUACCAGAAAUCGAAGAACAGCUUAAAGCCCGAAUGGAAGCAUUCACCCAGGUAGGCGCAAAGGCUCAAGAACGCCACGGUUCGGCAGAAGAUAGAAUAUCUCGACUUGAAGCAAGUGUAGAAGAAAAAAAUGCAGAAGUGAUGCGCUUGAAUCAAAGACUGAAAAUGAAUGAAGAGCACAAUCAGAGGUUAUCAUCAACAGUUGACAAACUUCUGUCGGAAUCAAAUGAUCGAUUGCAAGUCCAUUUAAAAGAAAGGAUGACAGCUCUAGAAGAAAAAAAUAUUCUUACUCAGGAGUUAGACAAAGCAAAAAAAUAUGCAGAAGAAGUGAAUCAAGAAAAGUCUGAAAUAAUAAAAGAGAUGUCCAAAAAUAGGCUAGAAAUGGAAAAUUUUAAAAGGCAACUAUUACAACAAGAAAUCGCUUUCAACAUACAACAAACAGAAGCUUUAACUAGAAGUCUGUCACCUACGAAUGCAGUCGAUGGCGACAGCUUUUCAAGGAACGCUCCGCAUGCUAACUUUGAAGCCAUUAGUAUUAGAAGAAAACAACAGUUGAUGGAAGAGGAGCAGUUUGCAAGACUGUCUGAACAAGACUGGAGUAAAUUACAACAAAUGUCAGGUGUACCAAAUUUCGAAAGCGGAACUGUGGAUGCUGAUGAUACGGACAGUUUGUUUAGUGCUGCCGAAAUAAUUUCACCCAGUGGUCAUACUGAUGCUCAAACCCUUGCUUUGAUGUUACAAGAACAGUUAGACGCAAUUAAUAAUGAGAUAAGAUUGAUACAAGAAGAAAAACAAUCGACAGAGGCUCGUGCAGAAGAGUUGGAAUCUCGAGUUGGUAGUCUAGAACAUAUGAAUUUAUUAGCAAGAGGACGAUCUAUGGAGAGGCAAAGUCCACCACUUAGCGAUAGAAGUACACCUAGUAGUCCUAAUAGAGAUUAUCUACACAAAUAUCAUACGGCGCCUGCUUCCAUGUCACCUGCACAUUUGCAUCAGUAUGCAAUUUCUCUGAAUCAAGGACAGUUGUCAGAAUCACUCCCAUCCAGUCAGGUACAAUUAGCACACCUUGCAUCUGAAAAAUCCGUAGAAGAUUUUCGAAGUGGAAAAGAUGCAACGGCGACAUGCUCUGAUAUAACAUCCAGUGGGGCAGCAUCUCCGCUAACUGCUCGUUCAAUGAGAUUAGAGCGGUUUGCAUUAGCUCUGGCCCACAGUCAGGAAGAACUACGAAGAUGCGGAACUUCUACAUCAUUUGGAAUAUCUCCGCCCAGUUCACGACAUGGUAGUGAAGAGUCUCUGAAAAAUGUGAACGCUAUAGGUGCACUUACCUCGUUUCAAUUGUCCACAUCUGCCACACAAGAAGCAGUUGCAGCACAAAAGAAGAAAGGUAUAAAGUCAAGUUUAGGCAGACUGUUUAGUAAAAAGGAAAAGUGCAAAACCGGCAAAGAUCCCACAAUGCCUGAUGGUUCCGUCAGCAUGAUGUCAAUGAGUGGAUUAUCGUUGAUAAGUGACAUAGACUCUAACUACGAUACUAUCACAAUUUAUAAGGUACCUGGAAAAAUGAACACGUUAGAUUACCGACGACAGAAAAAAGACCAUGAUUAUCGCCACGAUUUGCUUGGGGAAGCAAUGAAGGCAGGAACACCUUUCGCUCUUUGGAAUGGUCCAACUAUUGUGGCAUGGCUAGAACUUUGGGUUGGAAUGCCAGCAUGGUACGUAGCAGCUUGCAGAGCAAACGUUAAAUCGGGUGCUAUAAUGAGUGCAUUGAGCGAUACGGAGAUUCAACGAGAAAUUGGAAUCAGUAAUCCAUUACACCGCUUAAAGUUAAGGUUAGCAAUACAAGAAAUGGUGUGUCUCACUUCUCCAUCAGCUCCACAAACAACGCGGACAACUUUAGCAUUUGGUGACAUGAAUCACGAAUGGAUAGGUAAUUACUGGUUACCAGGACUGGGUCUUCCACAAUAUCGUACAACAUUCAUGGAAUGCCUUGUGGAUGCUCGAAUGUUGGAUCAUUUGAACAAAAAGGACCUAAGAGGACAGCUUAAAAUGGUAGAUAGUUUCCAUCGAACCAGUCUCCAAUACGGAAUUUCCUGCCUGAAACGCUUAAAUUAUGACAGAUGUACGCUUGAGGAAAGAAGAAAAGCAUCUGAAAAUGUAGUUGAUGACGUGCUCGUUUGGAGCAACGAUCGUGUGAUUCGAUGGAUCAACGGCAUUGGUUUGAAGGAAUACGGCAAUAAUCUUUUGGAAUCAGGCGUUCACGGAGCAUUGAUAGCCUUAGAUGAGAGUUUUGAUGCUAAUUCAUUAGCAUUGGCGCUUCAAAUUCCUACACAGUGCACACAGGAAAUGCCAUCAAUAUGCAAGUUCUCUUGAUAUACCGUCCGGGAAGAGUGCUGAAUUGGUCAAGGAUGCGUAUAAUAUUGGAGAUUGAGCAAGAAGCACAGAAUCCGCUGGAUGUGUUUUUUCCAAGUUAACAGCAAUUGUUGCUGUCUGUUGUUAUCAGCGAGCCGAAAUAAGUAUGUUAGAUAUUCUGAUCAGAUUUCCCGGGAAACCGUUAUCAUCCCUGAUUCUCGAUUGUACCAUGUGCGAAGGUGCGGUCUGCGAAUAUGUGACCCCUGGGAGAAUUUUUCAUAUUUAGCGUUAGUGUACACAUAAAUUAUUCUUUAGAAGAAUUGUUGAAAAUUUUUCUGUUUUCUUUAUAUAAUUCUUUUCGGCUGUAUUCUUAUUUCAAUGAUUUUUUUAUG